AUGUAUGUAUGUAUGUAUGUAUGUAUGUAGGCUAUGUAUGUAUGUAUGUCCCGAAUAGAAAUUAAAACCAUUUGACCAAUCUUGAUAAAACGUGGCAUAAAUGUUCUUUGGGUACCAACUGGAACAGUAAUCUAUGGAAAGUAGAGCCCUAUGCAAGCUUAAGACGAUAAAUAAAAAGUUGCUUAAUUCUAUGAAAGUAUUACUAUUUCAUGGAUCUAGAUCAUGUAGCCAUGUUUACAUCAGACAA